GGGAGUGUCAUAUUAUAUUCCCAAGUAUAUUACGAAACAGAAAAUUUGAGGGAAAGCACAAAGAAGAUGACCAACUUUAGCGGCUGCAGCAAUCUCGUGAUGAAGCUCAUUUUCAUCUUCAUCUUCUUCUUCAUACUUCAAACGUCAAUGGCUGAAGGAUACAAUAAUAUCAACCCAAUUUACGACUUGGCCAGCAGAGAAGAAAUGGUGAGAUUGGCUGGUUAUGGAGAGGAAAAGCUUUCAACCGUCCUUAUCACUGGCACCGUUCUCUGCGCGGCUUGUUUGCAUGGUGAACCUCAGCUUCUAGCAUGGCCAGUUUCAGGUGCUUUGGUUACCAUCAACUGUGACACGGAAGAGAAGUGGAGCAAAACAACUUCUGCACAAGUUGUAACUGAUGAAUAUGGAGAUUUCCAAAUUGAUCUUCCUUCCCAUCUCCACGCAAUUCCCAACUUGGAGAGAAUAUGCUCAGUCAAGGUUAUGAGAAUACCAAAGAACUCGGCCUGCCUACCUGCCUUUGCAACAAAACACAUGGCACUGAAGUUAUCUUCAGCUAGGAAUGGCAUCCGCAAUUACACUGCAGGAAAGAUUACAUUUCUGCAUUUGAGAUCUAGACCUUUAUCAGCUUGCACAAACAGGGAGAGAAGUGAUGACCAGCUUGCAUUAUAGAUUCCCGUUUCUUGAGCAGAAGAUUGGGACAGAACCCUAAGGCUCAUUUGGAUGGCGCUUCAGUCACAGCAAUGAGUUGCAAGUGUUCAAUUCCAGUCUUGUCAGUUUUAAAACUCAUACGUGUAGAGAGAGAGAGAGAGAGAGUGUCAAGUUUGAGAAUUGAGAGAAAAUGG
rnacentral:misc_RNA from 1 species